AUUGAACGCUGGCGGCAGGCCUAACACAUGCAAGUCGAGCGGAUGAAGGGAGCUUGCUCCUGGAUUCAGCGGUGGACGGGUGAGUAAUGCCUAGGAAUCUGCCCGGUAGUGGGGGAUAACGUCCGGAAACGGGCGCUAAUACCGCAUACGUCCUGAGGGAGAAAGUGGGGGAUCUUCGGACCUCACGCUAUCAGAUGAGCCUAGGUCGGAUUAGCUAGUUGGUGGGGUAAAGGCCUACCAAGGCGACGAUCCGUAACUGGUCUGAGAGGAUGAUCAGUCACACUGGAACUGAGACACGGUCCAGACUCCUACGGGAGGCAGCAGUGGGGAAUAUUGGACAAUGGGCGAAAGCCUGAUCCAGCCAUGCCGCGUGUGUGAAGAAGGUCUUCGGAUUGUAAAGCACUUUAAGUUGGGAGGAAGGGCAGUAAGUUAAUACCUUGCUGUUUUGACGUUACCAACAGAAUAAGCACCGGCUAACUUCGUG
rnacentral:rRNA from 1 species